CCUGCAUUGACCAGGGGGUUGAACUUGGUGGCCUUAAAGGCCGUUUCCAACUUUUUGAUUCUAUGAUUCUGUGAUUAUUGCAGCAGACGGAAUCCUUGCUUAGCCAGCACGACAAUGCUUGACAGAUCCUAGCAGCAGACAGGAAAGCUAGGGAAGAAGAGGCAGUACCAUACAUGGCCACGUUAAGGUGGGGACAGUCCCCUGUGAGGAAAUUUCUAAAGGGGAUGGAAAAGGAUCCAGUUAACCUACAAAUGUCAGUGUUGUGAUAUGAGCCUCUGAUGAAGACUUGAGGAAAACGUCUAGGCACAGAGAAGACGGGGAAGAAAGCCUUGAAUUAACAGAUGGACAGAAGGGAGUCACACACCUACAGUGUGCAUAGAAAAGUGUGAAGCGUACAUCUUU
rnacentral:lncRNA from 1 species